rnacentral:rRNA from 2 species
GUGGCAGUGCGGGGUGCUAUACAUGCAGUCGAGCGAAUGGAUUAAGAGCUUGCUCUUAUGAAGUUAGCGGCGGACGGGUGAGUAACACGUGGGUAACCUGCCCAUAAGACUGGGAUAACUCCGGGAAACCGGGGCUAAUACCGGAUAACAUUUUGAACCGCAUGGUUCGAAAUUGAAAGGCGGCUUCGGCUGUCACUUAUGGAUGGACCCGCGUCGCAUUAGCUAGUUGGUGAGGUAACGGCUCACCAAGGCAACGAUGCGUAGCCGACCUGAGAGGGUGAUCGGCCACACUGGGACUGAGACACGGCCCAGACUCCUACGGGAGGCAGCAGUAGGGAAUCUUCCGCAAUGGACGAAAGUCUGACGGAGCAACGCCGCGUGAGUGAUGAAGGCUUUCGGGUCGUAAAACUCUGUUGUUAGGGAAGAACAAGUGCUAGUUGAAUAAGCUGGCACCUUGACGGUACCUAACCAGAAAGCCACGGCUAACUACGUGCCAGCAGCCGCGGUAAUACGUAGGUGGCAAGCGUUAUCCGGAAUUAUUGGGCGUAAAGCGCGCGCAGGUGGUUUCUUAAGUCUGAUGUGAAAGCCCACGGCUCAACCGUGGAGGGUCAUUGGAAACUGGGAGACUUGAGUGCAGAAGAGGAAAGUGGAAUUCCAUGUGUAGCGGUGAAAUGCGUAAGAGAUAUGGAGGAACACCAGUGGCGAAGGCGACUUUCUGGUCUGUAACUGACACUGAGGCGCGAAAACAUGGGGGAGCAAACACGGAUUAGAUACCCUGGGUAGUCCACCCCCCUAAACGAUGAGUGCCCACCUGUUAGAGGGAUUGCCCCCCCUUUAUUGCUGGAAGUUAAC